GAUGAACGCUGGCGGCGUGCCUAAUACAUGCAAGUCGAGCGAACAGACGAGGAGCUUGCUCCUCUGACGUUAGCGGCGGACGGGUGAGUAACACGUGGAUAACCUACCUAUAAGACUGGGAUAACUUCGGGAAACCGGAGCUAAUACCGGAUAACAUGUUGAACCGCAUGGUUUAACAGUGAAAGACGAUCUUGCUGUCACUUAUAGAUGGAUCCGCGCCGCAUUAGCUAGUUGGUAAGGUAACGGCUUACCAAGGCAACGAUGCGUAGCCGACCUGAGAGGGUGAUCGGCCACACUGGAACUGAGACACGGUCCAGACUCCUACGGGAGGCAGCAGUAGGGAAUCUUCCGCAAUGGGCGAAAGCCUGACGGAGCAACGCCGCGUGAGUGAAGAAGGUCUUCGGAUCGUAAAACUCUGUUAUUAGGGAAGAACAAAUGUGUAAGUAACUAUGCACGUCUUGACGGUACCUAAUCAGAAAGCCACGGCUAACUACGUG
rnacentral:rRNA from 1 species